rnacentral:rRNA from 1 species
UACUAWWGUUGUUGCGGUUAAAAAGCUCGUAGUUGAAACUGUGUCCCGCGGCGUCGGUCUACCGUUUGCGGUACGACAGGCGUGUCUGUGGGGCUUCUCGCCUGCGUGUUCUCCGCCGGGGUGCGUAGGAGCGUCGUCGCGAGGCGACGUCACCGCGUGCCCCAUCAGUGCGGGCCCUCGCGGCCGUUUACUUUGAACAAAUUAGAGUGCUCAAAGCGGGCUAUUUAUCGCCUGAAUAUUGCGUGCAUGGAAUAAUGGAAUAGGACCUCGGUUCUGUUUUGUUGGCUUUCUGAUACCAGAGGUAAUGAUUAAUAGGGACAACUGGGGGCAUUCGUAUUGCGACGUUAGAGGUGAAAUUCUUGGAUCGUCGCAAGACGGACUAAAGCGAAAGCAUUUGCCAAAGGUGUUUUCAUUAAUCAAGAACGAAAGUUAGAGGUUCGAAGGCGAUUAGAUACCGCUGUAGUUCUAACCAUAAAUGUUGCCAGCUAGCGAUCCGUCGGAAUUAUUAAAUUUGGUUCGAUGGGCAGCUCCCGGGAAACCGAAGCUUUC